rnacentral:rRNA from 1 species
GACGAACGCUGGCGGCGUGCCUAAUACAUGCAAGUUGAGCGCUGAAGGUUGGUACUUGUACCAACUGGAUGAGCAGCGAACGGGUGAGUAACGCGUGGGGAAUCUGCCUUUGAGCGGGGGACAACAUUUGGAAACGAAUGCUAAUACCGCAUAAAAACUUUAAACACAAGUUUUAAGUUUGAAAGAUGCAAUUGCAUCACUCAAAGAUGAUCCCGCGUUGUAUUAGCUAGUUGGUGAGGUAAAGGCUCACCAAGGCGAUGAUACAUAGCCGACCUGAGAGGGGGAUCGGCCACAUUGGGACUGAGACACGGCCCAAACGCCUACGGGAGGCAGCAGUAGGGAAUCUUCGGCAAUGGACGAAAGUCUGACCGAGAAACGCCGCGGGAGGGAAGAAGGGUGUCGGAUCGGAAAACUCGGUUGGUAGAGAAGAACGUUGGUGAGAGUGGAAAGCUCAUCAAGUGACGGUAACUACCCAGAAAGGGACGGCUAACUACGUG